rnacentral:rRNA from 1 species
GACGAACGCUGGCGGCGUGCUUAACACAUGCAAGUCGAACGGAAAGGCCCUGCUUUUGUGGGGUGCUCGAGUGGCGAACGGGUGAGUAACACGUGAGUAACCUGCCCUUGACUUUGGGAUAACUUCAGGAAACUGGGGCUAAUACCGGAUAGGAGCUCCUGCUGCAUGGUGGGGGUUGGAAAGUUUCGGCGGUUGGGGAUGGACUCGCGGCUUAUCAGCUUGUUGGUGGGGUAGUGGCUUACCAAGGCUUUGACGGGUAGCCGGCCUGAGAGGGUGACCGGCCACAUUGGGACUGAGAUACGGCCCAGACUCCUACGGGAGGCAGCAGUGGGGAAUAUGGCACAAUGGGCGGAAGCCUGAUGCAGCAACGCCGCGUGCGGGAUGACGGCCUUCGGGUGGUAAACCGCUUUCGCCUGUGACGAAGCGUGAGUGACGGUAAUGGGGAAAGAAGCACCGGCUAACUACGU